AUCGGCCUCCGCGACCGAAUCGUCGAGACUCCGGUGACGAGGUUUGCUUUGAUGGGUUCCCAUUAUUCAUUCUUUUUAAUGAAUGGAAGGAAAAAAAACGUGAGGGUGACGACGUUCUCCCCUGUAAAUUAACUCAACGCCUGCUGAGGACGGAAAAUUUCUUUAUAAUUGUAGCAACGAUUUUUAAUUUUUGGGUUUUUAUUCCAGGUCGUCCCGGGGAAGGUAAAUUAGCGUGACUGGCAACAAUUUGCCCUCCAAAACUGCCGUGGAGCCGUGGUUCGGCGGCGCGGCAGCCAAAUUGUGUGUGUCGGAUGAUCGACGGCGGAAUCGUCAUUAGCGAUAAUUGCUGGGCUUUGGCAAACCUUGGCUGGCUGGUCAUAAAUAAAUCCCGAGUUCAACACUUUGUUUACUGACUGUAUGUCAUUCAUGCUAGCAGCAGUGUCACCGUCGAAUGCAACAAACGAUAAUUUUCCCGCACCCGCAUCCGGCCUUUUGAAAACAUCAAUUCAUCACUUAACUUCAGCAUGCUCAAUUCUAAUGUGCGUCGUGCACGAAUGAGCAACCAUCAUGUCAUCAAUUCGAGUCACUCGGCUGAAAUCAGAGCCCGUCCCCCUUCCCAUGUCCAAAACCUCGGCCCAGAUCAAGCCCUAAACAACCAUUGAUGUGGUCAUUGAGCGUAAUUCAAUCAAGAUCAAUUAAAAUUCAUUGGACCGUCAUCAUCGUCCACGUUUGAGGCUACCACCACCACCAGUUGAGCCAAGUGGCGUCGCGACGCGUCGCAGUAAAUCUAUGCUUCCACGCCCUGAUUUCUGCGCUGGAUGUUUGUCCUCGUUUCCUGGACCAGGGUGAUAACUUCAAUUACAUUUCGAAGAAAAUGAGAAUACAGCGUUUGAAAUAUUUUUUAAGACAAACGAUGUUAUUUCUGAUUUUCUCGUCUAAAUCCAUAAAAUGACAGAUAAAUUUUGUUUGGCCCAAAAAACUAAAAAUAAAAAUACAGAAAUCAGCAAAAAUUUCCCAUCAGAGUUGUCACUCUGUCACAGUCGACCUAAACAAAAACAAAAACGAAAACAGUUCAGCAAUUUACGUGAUUGUCCCGAUGAUGUGCGGUCACUUUAUUUGGACGGAUUCUCGGCAAGUUAGUUGUUAGAAAUGACCAACCGUUAAUGCGCGACGGUGGAAAGAGGAUGAAAUUGUCCCCUCGUGUUGGUCGGAGCAACGCUGUUGGUCAUCAAAGUAGCCGUGGAAUUCGAACGAUUUAAUUGUUGGAGGGACCGUGUGGCGUUGGAAUGUGGAUAAGAAAGUGAUGGAAGGUGGGAUUUUGAGAUUUGAUAUUAUCAAAUUAUUGCCAAAAAAUGUUAAAUAUGUAUAAAAACUAAGCAAAAUAGAA